UACCGUCCGCCCGUCGGAUUCAGUCCGUCUGUGCGACCGGGGCGUCGCGUGCGCAUCCCUCUCGGGAGCGUCGCGGCGUCUUGCGCGCCGUGCGGCGGCCGUACUUUCGGCGGGUGGAGCGCCACGACCGGUUCGCGGGCGGCGAGAAACCGCCCGGCAAGGUGACCGUCGCUUCGGCGUCGGGGCAUACAGGCUGGGUGUGCGCGGCCCGUCUGCGGACCUGGGAAGACCGUAUUCGCGGCGGUGCGUCGACCGCCGGUCGUGCCGGAGCGUUCGACUCGGGGGGACUGGUUCCAGUGCCCUCGGACCGCGCUUCGGCAAUGCGGCCGGACGGCCCGGCGUGCCGCUCGGGGUCGGUGGCGAAACGGCCGGCAACCUGUCCGACCCGUCUUGAAACACGGACCAAGGAGUCUAACACGUGCGCGAGUCGUUGGGCGAUACGAAACCCGAAGGCGCAAUGAAAGUGAAGGCCCGGUCUCCCGGCCGGCCCAGGUGGGAUCCGGACGGUACACGCCGUCCGGCGCACCACCGGCCCGUCUCGUUCGCUACGUCGAGGAGGCGGAGCAGGAGCGUACGCGUUGGGACCCGAAAGAUGGUGAACUAUGCCUGAGUAGGACGAAGCCAGAGGAAACUCUGGUGGAGGUCCGCAGCGAUUCUGACGUGCAAAUCGAUCGUCAAACUUGGGUAUAGGGGCGAAAGACUAAUCGAACCAUCUAGUAGCUGGUUCCUGUCGAAGUUUCCCUCAGGAUAGCUGACGCUCAUCUCGAGCAGUUUUAUCCGGUAAAGCGAAUGAUUGGAGGCCUUGGGGACGAAACGUCCUCAACCUACUCUCAAACUUUAAAUGGGUAAGACGUCCGACUCGCUCGA
rnacentral:rRNA from 1 species